rnacentral:rRNA from 1 species
AACGAACGCUGGCGGCAUGCCUAACACAUGCAAGUCGAACGAGACCUUCGGGUCUAUUUGCGCACGUGUGCGUAACGCGUGGGAACCUGCCCUUAGGUUCGGAAUAACUCCCCUAAAGGGGUGCUAAUACCGGAUAAUCUCUUCGGACCAAAGAUUUAUCGCCUUUGGAUGGGCCCGCGUUGGAUUAGCUGGUUGGUAGGGUAAAAGCCUACCAAGGAGACGAUCCAUAGCUGGUCUGAGAGGAUGAUACGCCACACUGGGACUGAGACACGGCCCAGAAUCCUACGGGAGGCAGCAGUGGGGAAUAUUGGACAAUGGGCGAAAGCGUGAUAAAGCAAUGCCGCGUGAGUGAUGAAGGCCUUAGGGUUGUAAAGCUCUUUUAGCCGGGAUGAUAAUGACAGUACCGGGAGAAUAAGCUCCGGCUAACUCCGUG